GACGAACGCUGGCGGCGUGCUUAACACAUGCAAGUCGAACGGAAAGGCCUCUUUCGGGGGGUACUCGAGUGGCGAACGGGUGAGUAACACGUGAGUAACCUGCCCUUGACUUUGGGAUAACUUCAGGAAACUGGGGCUAAUACCGGAUAGGAGCUCCUGCUGCAUGGUGGGGGUUGGAAAGUUUCGGCGGUUGGGGAUGGACUCGCGGCUUAUCAGCUUGUUGGUGGGGUAGUGGCUUACCAAGGCUUUGACGGGUAGCCGGCCUGAGAGGGUGACCGGCCACAUUGGGACUGAGAUACGGCCCAGACUCCUACGGGAGGCAGCAGAGGGGAAUAUUGCACAAUGGGUGGAAGCCUGAUGCAGCAACGCCGUGUGCGGGAUGACGGCCUUCGGGUUGUAAACCGCUUUCGCUCAUGACGAAGCUUUGUGUGACGGUAGUGGGUAAAGAAGCACCGGCUAACUACGUG
rnacentral:rRNA from 1 species